rnacentral:rRNA from 1 species
AUUGAACGCUGGCGGCAUGCCUAACACAUGCAAGUCGAACGGCAGCGCGGGGCAACCUGGCGGCGAGUGGCGGACGGGUGAGUAAUAUAACGGAACGUACCCAGAAGCUGUGGGUAACGUAGAGCAAGUUACGCUAAUACCUCAUACGAUCUACGGAUGUAAGUCGGGGACUGCAAGGCUUUAUGCUUUUGUUGCGGCCGAUAUCUGAUUAGCUAGUUGGUGAGGUAAAGGCUCACCAAGGCGACGAUCAGUAGCUGGUCUGAGAGGACGACCAGCCACACUGGAACUGAGACACGGUCCAGACUCCUACGGGAGGCAGCAGUGGGGAAUUUUGGACAAUGGGCGCAAGCCUGAUCCAGCAAUGCCGCGUGAGUGAAGAAGGCCUUCGGGUUGUAAAGCUCUUUUGUCAGGGAAGAAACGGUAGAGGCUAAUAUCCUUAGCUAAUGACGGUACCUGAAGAAUAAGCACCGGCUAACUACGUG